rnacentral:rRNA from 1 species
GACGAACGCUGGCGGCGUGCCUAAUACAUGCAAGUAGAACGCUGAAGCGAGGAGCUUGCUCUUCUUGGAUGAGUUGCGAACGGGUGAGUAACGCGUAGGUAACCUGCCUUGUAGCGGGGGAUAACUAUUGGAAACGAUAGCUAAUACCGCAUAACAAUGGAUGACACAUGUCAUUUAUUUGAAAGGGGCAAUUGCUCCACUACAAGAUGGACCUGCGUUGUAUUAGCUAGUAGGUGAGGUAAUGGCUCACCUAGGCGACGAUACAUAGCCGACCUGAGAGGGUGAUCGGCCACACUGGGACUGAGACACGGCCCAGACUCCUACGGGAGGCAGCAGUAGGGAAUCUUCGGCAAUGGGGGCAACCCUGACCGAGCAACGCCGCGUGAGUGAAGAAGGGUUUCGGAUCGUAAAGCUCGGUUGUAAGUCAAGAACGGGUGUGAGAGUGGAAAGUUCACACUGUGACGGUAGCUUACCAGAAAGGGACGGCUAACUACGUG